GACGAACGCUGGCGGCGUGCUUAACACAUGCAAGUCGAGCGGUAAGGCCCUUUCGGGGGUACACGAGCGGCGAACGGGUGAGUAACACGUGGGUGACCUGCCCUUAGCUCUGGGAUAAGCCUGGGAAACUGGGUCUAAUACCGGAUAUGACCUCAUGACUCAUGUUGUGGGGUGGAAAGCCUUGUGCGGCUAGGGAUGGGCCCGCGGUCUAUCAGCUUGUUGGUGGGGUAAUUGCCACCAAGGCGACGACGGGUAGCCGGCCUGAGAGGGCGACCGGCCACACUGGGACUGAGACACGGCCCAGACUCCUACGGGAGGCAGCAGUGGGGAAUCUUGCGCAAUGGGCGAAAGCCUGACGCAGCGACGCCGCGUGAGGGAUG
rnacentral:rRNA from 1 species